AUGCGGCAUCGCGGACAUAAUCUGUCCGUUAUGCCGGGCGGGCGGCGGCGCGCUGCCCGCC
rnacentral:sRNA from 1 species